rnacentral:tRNA from 1 species
GAGGCUAUAGCUCAAGUGGCAGAGCACAUGCUUAGCAUGCACUAGGUCCUGGGUUCAAUCCCCGGUACUUCCU